rnacentral:rRNA from 1 species
GACGAACGCUGGCGGCGUGCCUUACGCAUGCAAGUCGAGCGGUCCACUUCGGUGGAUAGCGGCAGACGGCUGAGUAACACGUAAGUAACCUGUCCUUCAGUGGGGGACAACCCCGCGAAAGCGGGGCUAAUACCGCGUGCGCUCCCGGAGGGAAGUGCUCCGGGAGGAAAGCCUUCGGGCGCUGAAGGAGGGGCUUGCGGCCUAUCAGGUAGUUGGCAGGGUAACGGCCUACCAAGCCUACGACGGGUAGCUGGUCUGAGAGGACGAUCAGCCAGACGGGGACUGAGACACGGCCCCGACUCCUACGGGAGGCAGCAGCGAGGGAUCUUGCGCAAUGGGCGAAAGCCUGACGCAGCAACGCCGCGUGGAGGAAGAAGGCCUUCGGGUCGUAAACUCCUUUUGCGGGGGAAGAAGGUCUGACGGUACCCUGCGAAUAAGCCACGGCUAACUACGUG